rnacentral:rRNA from 1 species
UACGAAGGGGGCUAGCGUUGCUCGGAAUCACUGGGCGUAAAGGGUGCGUAGGCGGGUCUUUUAAGUCAGGGGUGAAAUCCAUGGAGCUCAACUCCAGAACUGCCUUUGAUACUGAAGAUCUUGAGUUCGGGAGAGGUGAGUGGAACUGCGAGUGUAGAGGUGAAAUUCGUAGAUAUUCGGAAGAACACCAGUGGCGAAGGCGGCUCACUGGCCCGAUACUGACGCUGAGGCACGAAAGCGUGGGGAGCAAACAGG